rnacentral:misc_RNA from 2 species
CUUAAUGAGAUGGUCACCCCCACCCUGCCAGCGUACCGCUCACAGGGUGGGGGUGACCAUCUCAUUAAG